rnacentral:tRNA from 1 species
GCGCCUGUAGCUCAAUCGGAUAGAGCGUUGGCCUCCGGAGCCAAAGGUUGCGGGUUCGAAUCCCUCCAGGCGCG